rnacentral:misc_RNA from 1 species
AAGUGAUAGUGUAAUGUCAGAGG